AAAUUGAAGAGUUUGAUCAUGGCUCAGAUUGAACGCUGGCGGCAGGCCUAACACAUGCAAGUCGAACGGUAACAGGAAGCAGCUUGCUGCUUUGCUGACGAGUGGCGGACGGGUGAGUAAUGUCUGGGAAACUGCCUGAUGGAGGGGGAUAACUACUGGAAACGGUGGCUAAUACCGCAUAACGUCGCAAGACCAAAGAGGGGGACCUUCGGGCCUCUUGCCAUCAGAUGUGCCCAGAUGGGAUUAGCUUGUUGGUGAGGUAACGGCUCACCAAGGCGACGAUCCCUAGCUGGUCUGAGAGGAUGACCAGCCACACUGGAACUGAGACACGGUCCAGACUCCUACGGGAGGCAGCAGUGGGGAAUAUUGCACAAUGGGCGCAAGCCUGAUGCAGCCAUGCCGCGUGUAUGAAGAAGGCCUUCGGGUUGUAAAGUACUUUCAGCGGGGAGGAAGGUGUUGUGGUUAAUAACCGCAGCAAUUGACGUUACCUGCAGAAGAAGCACCGGCUAACUCCGUGCCAGCAGCCGCGGUAAUACGGAGGGUGCAAGCGUUAAUCGGAAUUACUGGGCGUAAAGCGCACGCAGGCGGUCUGUCAAGUCGGAUGUGAAAUCCCCGGGCUCAACCUGGGAACUGCAUUCGAAACUGGCAGGCUUGAGUCUUGUAGAGGGGGUAGAAUUCCAGGUGUAGCGGUGAAAUGCGUAGAGAUCUGGAGGAAUACCGGUGGCGAAGGCGGCCCCCUGGACAAAGACUGACGCUCAGGUGCGAAAGCGUGGGGAGCAAACAGGAUUAGAUACCCUGGUAGUCCACGCCGUAAACGAUGUCUACUUGGAGGUUGUGCCCUUGAGGCGUGGCUUCCGGAGCUAACGCGUUAAGUAGACCGCCUGGGGAGUACGGCCGCAAGGUUAAAACUCAAAUGAAUUGACGGGGGCCCGCACAAGCGGUGGAGUAUGUGGUUUAAUUCGAUGCAACGCGAAGAACCUUACCUGGUCUUGACAUCCACAGAAGAAUCCAGAGAUGGAUUUGUGCCUUCGGGAACUGUGAGACAGGUGCUGCAUGGCUGUCGUCAGCUCGUGUUGUGAAAUGUUGGGUUAAGUCCCGCAACGAGCGCAACCCUUAUCCUUUGUUGCCAGCGAUUAGGUCGGGAACUCAAAGGAGACUGCCAGUGAUAAACUGGAGGAAGGUGGGGAUGACGUCAAGUCAUCAUGGCCCUUACGACCAGGGCUACACACGUGCUACAAUGGCGCAUACAAAGAGAAGCGACCUCGCGAGAGCAAGCGGACCUCAUAAAGUGCGUCGUAGUCCGGAUUGGAGUCUGCAACUCGACUCCAUGAAGUCGGAAUCGCUAGUAAUCGUGGAUCAGAAUGCCACGGUGAAUACGUUCCCGGGCCUUGUACACACCGCCCGUCACACCAUGGGAGUGGGUUGCAAAAGAAGUAGGUAGCUUAACCUUCGGGAGGGCGCUUACCACUUUGUGAUUCAUGACUGGGGUGAAGUCGUAACAAGGUAACCGUAGGGGAACCUGCGGUUGGAUCACCUCCUUA
rnacentral:rRNA from 1 species